rnacentral:lncRNA from 1 species
ACACAAAAUAGCCCGGGGAGAGAGAGACUCGGAACUAGACAAAAAUGGUGCGUAGAAACGCUGUGAUCUUUCUUUCUUUGAUCUGCAUUGUUAUUGGUGGUGUUAGUGGUCAAGCACCAGCAACAUCACCAACAGCAACACCAGCACCACCUACGGCAACAACACCAACAACGUCUCCUCCACCAGCAACCUCCACUCCUCCACCAGUGUCAGCCCCACCUCCAGUCACCCAAUCCCCACCUCCAGCUACACCUCCUCCGGUCUCAGCCCCACCACCAGCCUCCCCUCCUCCAGCCACACCACCCCCAGCAACACCUCCUCCCGCCACACCUCCACCAGCAACACCUCCUCCAGCCACACCGCCACCUGCUACUCCACCACCAGCAACCCCUCCUCCAGCUGUUCCUCCACCAGCUCCCUUGGCUUCUCCGCCAGCUCUUGUUCCAGCUCCAGCUCCAGCUCCCAGCAAGUCUAAGCUGAAGGCUCCAGCUCCAUCUCCCCUGGCAUCGAGUCCUCCAGCUCCAC